GUGAACUCUGGGAGUUGGUGAUGGACAGGGAGGCCUGGCGUGCUGCGAUUCAUGGGGUCGCAGAGAGUCGGACACGACUGAGUGACUGAACUGAACUGAACUACUGUAUAUAAAGCAGAUAACCAAUGAGGACUACCCCUACCCCCGUAUAGCACAGGGAACUAUAUUCAAUAAUACACACACACACACACACACACACACAUGUAUGCAUGCAUGCUCAUGCUCAGUCACUUCAGUUGUGUCCGACUCUUUGUGACCCCGUGAACAGUAGCCGCCAGGCUCCUCUCUCCAUGGGAUUUCCCAGGCAAGAAUACUGAAGUUGGUUGCCAUUUCCUCCUCCAGGGGAUCUUCCCGACCUAAGGACUGAAAUUGCAAAUCCUGCAUUGCAGGCAGAUUCUUUACCACCUGAGCCACCAGGGAAGCCCACAUAUAUAUGUAUACACAUGUUGUUGCUGUUCAGUUGCUCAGUCAUGUCUGACUCUUUGUGACCCCGUGGACUUCAGCACGCCAGGCUUCCCGGUCCUUCAGUGUCUCCUGCAGUUUGCACAACGUCCACUGAAUCGAUGAUGACAUCCAACCAUCUCAUCCUCUGUCUCCACCUCUCCUCCUUGCACAUAACCAUCGUGGGAAGGCCUGGGGGAAGAAAUGACACCUAACUCAUGGUCAUGGUCAUUCUCCACCUUGGUGAAGCAUCAACUGGGACAUUUAAACCUCUGAACCUCAGUUUCCUUUCUGUAGAGAUGCAUCAGAAUGUCUCAGUGGAGGAUGCCCAUUGGAACCACACUGGUCUUUCCACGGGCACAGAGUACGCUGGCCGUGUUUGUACAGCUCUGCAGAGAGAUAGUCGUGGAAGCCUGCUGUAUAGAAACUGACCCUGUGACGGUGAACCGGAGCCCAGGGGGUGGCCAGCUACUUCCUCCCCUUUGAGAGUUUCUGGCAUUUGGCAGAUUUUCUCUUAAACUCCUUUCCCCAGCGUGGCCUGGUUCCUUUGUUGCCUUAUUUGGAGUGCAUACCAGCUAUUGUGGAGUAAUAAAACAGGAGGAGAAAUCA
rnacentral:lncRNA from 1 species